ACUGUGAUCACCGUCCAUGGCCGCCUGCGGAUACCCACGCCGUGCUCAGAAGAGGGCUCUGAGGCCACGCCCGCCUGUGGGGUCGGUGGCCGGGCUUCCGGGACCCCAGAGGGAGUCGUCGCGCGCUAGGUGGAGGGGACCCCUCUGGAAUCCGGCGAUCCCCGGGCGCAGAUGCAGGAGCGGGUGGGGAGAGCCGCGUUCCUGGCAUGUUUGCCUCGAGUUAGUCACGAAGGAAUCGAAGAGAGCCUUAGUCUUCGAGGCUUUUCCCUUCCUGUGAGCCCCUUUGAGGCCAGCACAUUGAUUUUUUUUUCUUUCGCAGAACAAUUUCGGACCUCCUGGGGUCUAUGCUAGGUAUGAGGUGUAUCUUUGCCCUCCAUCAAGUAGCAAAGAUGGACAUGUAAACAAAUUUCGACACUGUGAUGACUGCCACAAAAAGCAGCAUUAUGAGGUUGAAUGUAAAAGGAUAACCUUAGCGGCGGCGGGGGCCGGAGGAUGAAGGAAGGCUUCCUGAGGUAGGCGCUGGUUGAAACUGAAGUUGGAGAGAGCAAGUGGCAUUUGCUGAAGUGCAUUUCCGGUAGAAAACUCCAGUGGUCCCUCACCUGACUGAGUGGCGCAGUCAGAGAUAAAUGGAACAGGUACACUGACCAGAAAGGGCAAGAUGGGCUAAACUUCGCCGUUGGGCCACUGGGCUCCCCCGCAGGAUUUUAAAGAGCUAGCCAGUAGAUGGAUUUUGUUUUUGUUAUUUUCGCAAUUUAUUUUCAAAUAUGUAAUACGCGAACUUGGUACAACAUUCAUGUGAUAAAAAGGUAGAUACGUGGGCAGGACGCGGUGGCUCACGCCUGUAAUCCCAGCAUUUUGGGAGGCCGAGAUGGGCGGAUCAUUUGCUGUCAGGAGUUCGAGACCAGCCUGGCCAACAUGAGUCUACAAAUAAACAUUUUAUAAAGAUGAUCCUUCAAUACAUAUUCUACAGCCCAGUUAAAAUGUGAGAGGCCAUGAUCUACAGACAGCCAUUUAUAAAGGUGGAUCAGGGCCGGACACGGUGGCUCAACGUCUGUAAUCCCGGCACUGUGGGAGGCCAAAGCGGGAGGAUCGCUUGAGCCCAGGAGUUCGAGACCAACCUGGCCAACAUGCUUUAUGUGAUUGACACAGACAUGGAAGAGAUCUGGUCCUUAUGAAGAAUUCUGUGCUCGCAGGAAAGAUCUGUAGGAAUAAUGAAAUGCUUUCUUCAUUGAUGAGAUGAAGUCUCUGUUUUUCAGAUAAAGAAAAGAGAGGAUAAUGGGAAGACAAAACAUUGUAUUAAGGUAGAAGGAAGCUGGAUAAAUUGUCUCUGUAAAUUAUCUUAAAUUUUGUAUUAACAAAUUUAAAAUGACUCAAAUAAAAUAACAAAGAAAAAUAUAUUAAUUUGGCCUCAAGGAAUUUUCUCAAGCCAUAAAAAAUUUUCUUAGUUUAUUUCUUUACGGAAGUAUCUUAUGCUUGAUCAGCUGACUUAAAGGAACUCUCCUAGUGUGGGACUGAAAACAACUUUAUCAUUGAUAAAAGAUGAUUAGUUUAAAAAGUUGGUUUUUAUUAUUGAAGUGCCCACAGGCACAAGAGUAUAGGUGCUUACAUUUCCCUUUAGAUUAUGGGAAAGCCCUUUUGAGAAUGCACUAAAUCAGGAAAUCUUUCAGCAAUCAGAAUGCAUGCUGAAAGUUCAGAUCUUUUAAGUUUUGGGUUUCGCUGUUUGAGCAUAAAAAGGAAGGGAGCAGGGAGAAAUGUAACUAGGUUCACAAUUUUGAGCAAGAGCAUAUGUAAAGGUAACGUAUGUACAUUUUAUUUCAAGAAAGACAGAAGACAAACAGCAUAAAGAUGCCCAGAUGCCCUAAAGAUAAAUACAUUUCAAAGAUUCUCAUUAAAAUGAAUCUGUAGUAUUUUUUUCCUGCAAGCAAAAUACCUUUCUUUAAAUAAAAUUAAAAAAAUCAGUAUUCUGAAUUGCAAAUGCUUUUGUUUUUUUUUUGCAGAAAAUCUGCCAUGAUUAUUUUUUUAAUGAAUAAGGAUUUUCCACAAAACAGGCUUGCUCUACAUGCUAGAUUUUUAAACAGUUCAGUGACACAAUAUGCUAACUACAUACACAACAGAUAAUAUAGUAAGAAAACACUCAACCUGAUGAAAAGUUAAAAUCUUCAUUAAUACACUGAAAAUUGACAUAACUCAUGCCUUUAAAAUCAAAAAUACAAAAAUUAAAUGUUUUCCUAAAAAGAUUUCCUUAUUUUAAGGAUUCAUUUGAAAAUGAAGCUGCAUGUAAUUUGUACAGUAAGUUGUACAAGUAAACAGGUAAUAUACAUAAAAAAUUAAUUGACAUACUCCUCAAUUAUCAGUUGUCCACCUUUAAUUUCCAAUACUGUACUUUCUUAACAAGCAUACAAAAUAUCAAACUUCUCUUUAGAAAAAGUGCCGUUCUUUGACAUCCUUUACACAAAAACAGUCUGAGCCUGUGGCAUGUUAAUGCAGUUGAGAGGCAAAGCAUACGAACUUUUACAAAUUCUACCUUCCAUAAAAAGCCUCCCGAAAAGGAGAUUACACGCCACUAUAAAAAUAUCAACCUCUUGUGGUAGCUGCAUUAGAGAACCAAGGCUUGAAGACUAUUUUCAUAUAGCAUAGAAAAACCACUAUGAGAGCAUAUUAACUGCAUUGGUGGCUUGGGAGUGUACUGUGCCACAGGAUUAUGCAUAGCUACUGUUAGGUACCAAGACUGUUAUACAGUUUUAAAUUGAUUGUAACUGAGAGCAUAACAGAGGUACUACCAGCCCAUGCAAAAUAACUAAAAAUACUGAGUCACUGUGCUGAAUACUUCAUUCCUGGAGAAAACCAAAGGCAGCAGUAACUAAAUCAAGCCAAACAGGUGACCAAACUUUCUCCUCAAAGAUUUGUGAGCACAGUGAAGUCUGAGGUAUACCUUUAUCCAUUAAAUCUGUGUGCCAUUGCAAGAUAUUACCAUUUGAGAAUAUACGCCAUCACAAUGGUUUAAAUCUUUUGUAUAUUAGUCAUUCAUAUAUUCUUAUCUACCCAGUCUCUUGAUUUUUGAAAAGAUUUCACCUACAGUAGAAUAUUACAGAAACAAAAUAUAAAUGCAUGUCUUUCUAAAUGAAACUUACAUAGACUAAAAGUAGAGAAUAUUUUUAAACAAAUAUACAAUGUGCAGGCAGACAAAGCAGGAAAACGGCCAUUCAAAUGUAUAAUAAAAAACUAAAAAUUGACUAUCUCCAGAAAACUAUGAAGCGCCUCAACUAAAAGGAAUGCAUAAUGAAAUUCUAAUCUAAUACAGGUCAAAAAUGUAAAAAGGUUAUAAACCUUAACAGGAAAAAUAAAACAACUUUUACUGGCCAUUCCUGUUGAAAUGAGAAUCAUAAAGUAACAGAAAAGUGGCUACAAACCCACUUAGAGCACCAAACAGAGAGAAAAUAAAAGUCCAUUUUCAUCUCUGUUAUUAUCAUAAAAUCCUGUGUGACUACAGGUCAAACUGCUGGUGGCAGAAACAGAAUUCUUUAUAAACUGCAGAUGUCCUGUACAUAAAAAAUUUCACUGGAGUUGCACUAGUUCUAAAGACUCUUCUGUUUUAGCCUACCUACUAUAUGUAUUCGAUCUGAGAUAGAUAAAGUCUCUUUCUGUAACCCUUAAUUAUUAUUGGGCACCAAAGAUAAGAAAAGCAAGACGGGGUACAAAAAUGCAAAAUUUCAACAGUAAUGGCAAUGUUUUUGUCUUAGUCCAAAAGGGUCCUGCAUUCUCUCCCCCUUCAGUGAUUUGACAAGUCUUUGUACUUAAUCUGGGGGCAGCAAAUCAUGCAAGCGAAAUCUGUCUCUGAUGUGUGGUCGAACAUCUUCAUUCUGCGUGGAAAAAAGACAAUUUUUAAAAAGGCAUAAAAUUUCAAAGAUAU
rnacentral:lncRNA from 1 species